UUUACAGUCACAGCCGUCCAUCCCAUUAGACUCUACUACAAAGACACUGAGUGCAAAGGGUAGAUCUACUAUCAUCAUCAGAUAGGAAUCUGACUGCAGUACAAAGUAGAAAUGGCUGGUGGCGAAGGAAAGGGUAAAGACGGUGCCUGUUUCUUGUGGGGGAUCUGCUGGCUCCUCAUCCUCAUCUUCCUGGCCUGGCCCAUCGCGUUCAUCCUAGCCUGGGUGUAUGUCCUGCUCCAACCCUUCACCGUCUGCGUCAACGCGCUCUCCGGCAUUGGAGACUUUUUCAAGACCGUCGUUGAACUUCCGGCCACCAGCACCCGGAACAUGCUGGACGGAGCACCCAUCUGUUAGAUAAUAGAUUUUGUGUUAGUCAUGUGUCAGGCUCGUAGUGAUACUGUUUGACUGUUAGAGAUGUGUUAGGCUCGCAGUGAUACUGUUAGACUGUUAGAGAUGUGUUAGGCUCGCAGUGAUACUGUUAGACUGUUAGAGAUGUGUUAGGCUCGCAGUGAUACUGUUAGACUGUUAGUGAUGUGUUAGGCUCGCAGUGAUACUGUUAGACUGUUGUUAGGCUCGUUGAUGUGGGUGGUUGGCGGGUGCUCUCGUUUCGGUUGAGUUUUCUGCCCUAUCGAAUAUAUAUUGUCCUUAUUAAAUCUCUUCUCGUUUUCUCUCUCUCUCUCUCUUUGUCUCCCCCCCCCCCUCUCUGACUCUCUC